UGUAGAUGUGUGUAGAGUUAGUGAGGGGUGUGUAGAGUUAGUGAAGAGUUUGUAAAGGGUGUGUAUCGGAUGGUCGUGGUCUGAGGAUAUCAGUAUAUCUGCAGUGCUCUUUGCUCCGUCGCUCCAGAACCGCAGGUGAGGAGCUCGUGCUGACGGUGAUGAGGAGAUUCUUCAGCUCUGGUAGAGAUGAAGAUUACAGCCAGAUCCAGUACCUCACCGCCAAGUGUACCCGCCUCACCCACGAGAACGCAGUGUUGGAGAGAGAGUGUUUGUCCUCUCGGGAGAGAGAGAGGGCGCUGCAGGUGGAGCUGGAGUCUCUAUCGGUGCAGCUCUGUCAGAAAGAGCACACCUGCCAAGACCUGCGCCUCCACCACGACCAGCUCCUCGACACACUCAAACAACAGCGGGAGCGGGUCCAGUUCCUGGAGCAGAGGGUGGUCUCUGUGGCGGAGGAGGGGGCGAGGGAGGCGGCGCUGUUGAGUUUUCAGUUGGAGCAGGUGGGCUGUGAACUGCAGCAGCUCCAGAGCUCAGAGUUACAGCUGCAGGGCCUGGUGGACGAGCUGCACCAGGAGGCCGAUGAUGAAGUCAAAAAGGCAGAGGACCUGCAGACGGAGCUCCGUGAGGUGGCCCAACUCAGUGCUAAGCAGAUAGAAGACAUGAAGAGGAAGCUGGCCAGAAAGUCUCAGGAAGUGGAGGAGCUGCAGGAGGCUAAUCAUGCUCUGCAGGAGGAGCUGAGCGAGCAGCACAGCGCCCACCGGAGGACGGUAGAGGAACUGCAGCAGGAGAACUCGGGCAGCGUGCAGAAACUCAGAGAGAUGGCGGAGCAGUUCGAGUGGCUCUGUGAUCAACAGAGAAACUGGAUGUGCUGCAUCAAACGUUUUAAGGACUGUCUGUCUGAUGAGAAGGAGGCCCUGGUUCUGCAGGUGAAAAGGUUACAGGAGGAAUUGGCGGAUCUGAAGAAGAACUCUGACUCUGAGGACACAAGUCCAGAAGACCCGGCCACUCACUGCAACAGGUGGGAUGUGGAGGUGAUGGGGGAUCUGCAGGUGGAGGCUGACAGAUGGAGAACAAGAUACUCUGACCUCUUCAGCAAACUCACUACACAACCGGGUUCUCAGGGGAAGUGGAAUGAAGAUGGACAUUUAAAGCCUCCAUGAAAUCAUCCCUCUCUCUCUCUCUCUCUCUCUCUCUCUCUCUCUCUCUCUGUANUUUUGCACCAGGAGUAAAGCAGCAUAAAGUUAUCCAAAAGCAGUGUGUAAGACUGGUGGAGGAGAACAUGAUGCCAAGAUGCAUGAAAAAAUUAUUUCUGAACUCUUAAAACUUUAUGAAUAUGAACUUGUUGUUUUCUUUGCAUUAUUUGAGGUCUGAAAGCUCU
rnacentral:lncRNA from 1 species